GGUAUGGAGAGGGAGACAAGCAUCUACCCAAGCAGCAAAGAAUACCCUCAUCACAAUUAUAGAAUCAUUCAACUCAUCUUCAAAUGAUACAACUUUACCAGAUAUUGACCCAACUGAAGAGAUUCCCGACUGUAUGCUAAUACAAUUCUCCCGUCACAUUAACAAAGA